UCCACAACGAUACCAUGCUCAUCACUAAAU
rnacentral:piRNA from 1 species